AUUGAACGCUGGCGGCAGGCCUAACACAUGCAAGUCGAACGAGUGGCGGACGGGUGAGUAAUGUCUGGGAAACUGCCCGAUGGAGGGGGAUAACUACUGGAAACGGUAGCUAAUACCGCAUACCAUCGGAUGUGCCCAGAUGGGAUUAGCUAGUAGGUGGGGUAACGGCUCACCUAGGCGACGAUCCCUAGCUGGUCUGAGAGGAUGACCUGCCAUACUGGAACUGGGACACGGUCCAGACGCCGACUGUAGGGAGAUGGGGGGAAUAUUGCCUAAUGGGCGUAAGCCUGAUGCAGCCAUGCCGAGUGUAUGAAGAAGGCCUUCGGGUUGUAAAGUACUUUCAGCGAGGAGGCGUUACUCGCAGAAGAAGCACCGGCUAACUCCGUGCCAGCCGCCGCGUAAUAC
rnacentral:rRNA from 1 species